rnacentral:rRNA from 1 species
GAUGAACGCUGGCGGCGUGCUUAAUACAUGCAAGUCGAACGGACAGGCCCUGCUUUUGCGGGGCGCUCGUGUGGCGCACGGGUGUGUAACACGCGAGUAUCCUGUCCCUGUCAGUGGGGUAUAUCCUGGAAACUGGGGCUAAUACCGCAUAGGAGCUCCUGCUGCAUGGUGGGGGUUGGAGAGAUUCGGCGGUUGGGGAUGGAAUGGCGGGUUCUCAGCCUGUUGGUGGGGUAGUGGCUGACCAAGGCUUUGAAGGGUAGCCGGCCUGAGAGCGUGACCGGCCACAUGAGGACUGAGGGACGGCCCAGUCUGCUACGGGACGCAACAGUGGGGAGUAUUACACAGUGGGCCGAAGCCUGUGACGGCAGUGCCGCGUGCGUGAUGACGGCUUUCGGGUUGUGAACCGCUGUCGCCUGUGACGUAGCGGUAUUGACGGUAAUGGGUAAAGAAGCACCGGCUAACUACGUG